AUUAAGCUGUACUCUGGCCACUAGGGGGCUCUUCUUCUCCCAGCCUGAGCGAGUGAAAUGAAGUCUCACAGCACCUAUGAGCACUUAAGGCAGGUGUGCAAUGGGGUGUGUGGACUCCACGUGGACGAGGAAGGUGCCAGAGAGGUCCUGGGGGUGGAGCUGGCCCUAUCAAUCAUGUCUGAUAGGGAGGAAACUGCAGUCAGCAUGAAGGGGUGUGUGGCAGUGAUGGACCUAAGCAGCAAACUGCAAGAGUGACUCCUGGAGCCAUGGCGGGAACUCUGAGCCCGGAGACCUUCAGCUGGACCCUACAGAGAGUGCAGCGAGCUCCCAGGAUGAAGAAUGGAGACACAGAGGAUAAGUGAACUGCCCGAGCUACCACAGGAAGGAUGUGUAAAAUCAAGGAAGAGAAUCCAGAUCUCCUGAGUCCUAGGAGGAGGACUAGAUGAAGUUGUGGACUAUGAGUGAAAAAGAUGCAAAGUGGGAUCACCACAGAGCACAGGAGGAUAAUAAUUUCAACAAAAAGACACCAGAGUGAUCCUGAUUGUUAAAUCAGACUGCCAUUACAAUUGAAAAGGACUCAAAAUGGAGUGAUGUACACAUCAUUGGUGCUUCAUGAUGGACCAAAUGGAAUCCCUGAAUGGAUAUUGCUUCAGCUUUGAUUUUAAAAAAUGGUCUAACAAGAAAAUCUU